AGUUCUGUAGUGUAGUGGUUAUCACGUUCGCUUUACACGCGAAAGGUCCCCGGUUCGAGCCCGGGCAGAACUA